rnacentral:lncRNA from 10 species
CAAGACCACACAGGAGGCAGAAGCAUGAACUACUGGGUGGUGGUUUAUGGUUUACCCAUUUCAGAGGUGCACCUCAGUCAAGAGCCAGAGACAAGAAAGUGUCAGAAGGAUGAGUGGAUCUGGUUCAGAACAUCUGUGAACACAGAGGGAGUGGAAACUUCACUUUCAACAUCAUCAGCCAACUUCCCUCCCAUUACAAUUCUAUCUCAAGAUCAAGGUCAUGCAACAAAACCAGCAGGUGUGAUUCUUUCUCUCCGAUCAACUCACUUUGUUUUUUCUAUUUUUAUGCUCUCUUGAGCACUGUAUAAUUAACUUCCAUAAUGGCUCUAAAACUACUAGGUAAACAUAUUUAACAAGCUUCUAUCCAUAUUGAUAGAGAGGAAAUAUGUUAACUAUCAGAUGUCAGAGAGGAAAUAUGUUAAUGAUCCUGGGAUAUACACCAAUACUAAUGGAUUAUUGGUAGAAAUAUCAAUUGACUGCCCUGCAGAUUCUAAGCCAACUUUGGCCACUUCUUCUUUGAAGGAAAUGAUGACAGUGAUAAAAAAAAAAAAAAAAAAAAAAAAAAAGCAGCAAGCUCCUGCAGGCAUUCCUGAGAAAUUCAGAGGGAUUUCCUGUACUCUGCAAAGACCAUGACACAAUGUGGCCAUAAUCCUAACUCUCAUGCUGCUGCUGAAAGUGGAAGCAGAAGGAUACAAACAAACCAAACCCUUGGUUCAAGCAACAAGCAUUUAUUGAAUACCUGCUGUGUGCCAGAACUAGUCUAGGCACGUUGAAGGCAAUUGAUGCAGGACUUCCAAUAGCUUCCCAUCUCACUCAAAGUAAAGGCCAAAGACAUUACAGGGACCUAGAAAGAUCUUUCCUCCACUUCACUCCACUCUAGCCACAAUGAUGUCCAUUCUGUUCUUCCAAUACACUGUGCAUAGUAUCUCCUGAAAACCUUAUCUCACAUGGUUCUCUCCACCUAGGAAGCUCCAAUCCCAGAUACCUGCAUGGCUUGACCUCUCUUUCCAACCAAUCUUUACCCAAAUACAGCCUCCUCAGAGAGGUCUUCCUGAGCCACAUUUGCAAAGUUAAAUCACCCCUAUGCAGUUCCUAAUCUAUUUCUUUGCUUUACUUCCUUCCUUAACACUUGUCAUUCUCUCACAUAGUAUAUAUCUCACCCAUUAUAAUCUGUCUCUAUAAUUAGACUAUAAAAUUUAGGUAAGUGGGGCUUUGGGGUUUUGUUUUGU